GACGAACGCUGGCGGCGUGCUUAACACAUGCAAGUCGAACGGAAAGGCCCUGCUUUUGUGGGGUGCUCGAGUGGCGAACGGGUGAGUAACACGUGAGUAACCUGCCCUUGACUUUGGGAUGACUUCAGGAAACUGGGGCUAAUACCGGAUAGGAGCUCCUGCUGCAUGGUGGGGGUUGGAAAGUUUCGGCGGUUGGGGAUGGACUCGCGGCUUAUCAGCUUGUUGGUGGGGUAGUGGCUUACCAAGGCUUUGACGGGUAGCCGGCCUGAGAGGGUGACCGGCCACAUUGGGACUGAGAUACGGCCCAGACUCCUACGGGAGGCGGCAGUGGGGAAUAUUGCACAAUGGGCGGAAGCCUGAUGCAGCAACGCCGCGUGCGGGAUGACGGCCUUCGGGUUGUAAACCGCUUUCGCCUGUGACGAAGCGUGAGUGACGGUAAUGGGUAAAGAAGCACCGGCUAACUACGUGCCAGCAGCCGCGGUGAUACGUAGGGUGCGAGCGUUGUCCGGAUUUAUUGGGCGUAAAGGGCUCGUAGGUGGUUGAUCGCGUCGGAAGUGUAAUCUUGGGGCUUAACCCUGAGCGUGCUUUCGAUACGGGUUGACUUGAGGAAGGUAGGGGAGAAUGGAAUUCCUGGUGGAGCGGUGGAAUGCGCAGAUAUCAGGAGGAACACCAGUGGCGAAGGCGGUUCUCUGGGCCUUUCCUGACGCUGAGGAGCGAAAGCGUGGGGAGCGAACAGGCUUAGAUACCCUGGUAGUCCACGCUGUAAACGGUGGGUACUAGGUGUGGGGUCCAUUCCACGGGUUCCGUGCCGUAGCUAACGCUUUAAGUACCCCGCCUGGGGAGUACGGCCGCAAGGCUAAAACUCAAAGGAAUUGACGGGGCCCCGCACAAGCGGCGGAGCAUGCGGAUUAAUUCGAUGCAACGCGUAGAACCUUACCUGGGUUUGACAUGGAUCGGGAGUGCUCAGAGAUGGGUGUGCCUCUUUUGGGGUCGGUUCACAGGUGGUGCAUGGCUGUCGUCAGCUCGUGUCGUGAGAUGUUGGGUUAAGUCCCGCAACGAGCGCAACCCUUGUUCACUGUUGCCAGCACGUUAUGGUGGGGACUCAGUGGAGACCGCCGGGGUCAACUCGGAGGAAGGUGGGGAUGACGCCAAGUCAUCAUGCCCCUUAUGUCCAGGGCUUCACGCAUGCUACAAUGGCUGGUACAGAGAGUGGCGAGCCUGUGAGGGUGAGCGAAUCUCGGAAAGCCGGUCUCAGUUCGGAUUGGGGUCUGCAACUCGACCUCAUGAAGUCGGAGUCGCUAGUAAUCGCAGAUCAGCAACGCUGCGGUGAAUACGUUCCCGGGGCU
rnacentral:rRNA from 1 species